rnacentral:sRNA from 1 species
GUCACGGGGAGAUUCUAUGCACUGUGAUGCAUUAUAGGUGGUCUGCCCAACUUUCUAAUCACAAAGGACGGAAAACAGCAGGGUUCUGUGCAGCAGAGGCCAGAAAAAUCCUGGACGCUAAAUCCGAUCACGGAAGAGAGAACUCAGCAGGUGAAGGCACUUGCAGUGAAAGCUGAGGAGCCGAGUUUAAUUGGCAGAGAACGUUCCCCAUCUACAAAAAUGUUUGAAUGAAAGCUCAACCCAAAGCUACAUUUGAAAUUGUUGAAGUCAUUAGCUGAAGAAUGAAGUAGACCCCUUUGUGGAGUUCCCAAAUUAUCUUUGAAAUAAGAGGUAGGUUUCAAAGACUGAUUCUGAUGUUUGCUGACAGAACCACAUGGCUCCUCACUAGUAACUUGCCUAACCUGAGAGUUUUUGUGAGCCAUUUCUUGUUCCUGAUCUCUCCUGGGAGUAAAGCUUUUGCUGUUGUCAGCUGUCAGAAAUGGGUCAUGCCUGUUAUAACAGGUUCCCAGGAUGUCACCGUCCUCUACAAGUUCCCUUUCUUCUGGGAAGUACAAACUGUCAAAGCCACAAUCUCCACGAGGUCCAUGGAUGAGUUCCUGGAAUGAAUAGUUUAUGUUCUGCUCUGGUGAAAAGUCUCGGUUAUGAUGAGGAAACAAAGCUGAAAGAAAUCAAGACAGAAACUUAUUCCACUCACUAGACUCUGAAGAAUGCUCUUACAAAUCUAGAUUAGCACAUCAGCCAACAGUGUGCAUAGUGGAAAAUCUGAGGCCUUGACUGCUCCUUUAACACUGACCACAGGGAUGCUGCAAAAGAAAUACUAUUCCUUUCUGUUUAUAAAGACUGAAUUUUCCUUUUGUAAAAUGAAAAGUUUAAAAAGAUGUGUUGCACAGCAAUUUGGAUAUGCUUAACACUAUAAAUCAGAGUAAUAAAAUCUUAAGACAAUAAA